rnacentral:rRNA from 1 species
GUUUGAUUCUGGCUCAGGACGAACGCUGGCGGCGUGCCUAACACAUGCAAGUCGAACGGAGCUCCGCCCUUCGGGACGGAACUUAGUGGCGAACGGGUGAGUAACGCGUGAAGAACCUGCCUUCCAGUGGGGGACAACAGUUGGAAACGACUGCUAAUACCGCAUGAUACUUUUGAGGGGCAUCCCUUGAAAGUCAAAGCUUUAAGUGCUGGAAGAUGGCUUCGCGUCUGAUUAGCUAGUUGGUGGGGUAACGGCCCACCAAGGCGACGAUCAGUAGCCGGUCUGAGAGGAUGAACGGCCACAUUGGGUCUGAGACACGGCCCAAACUCCUACGGGAGGCAGCAGUGGGGGAUAUUGGACAAUGGGGGGAACCCUGAUCCAGCGACGCCGCGUGAGUGAAGAAGUAUUUCGGUAUGUAAAGCUCUGUCAGCAGGGAAGAAAGAAAUGACGGUACCUGACCAAGAAGCCCCGGCUAACUACGUGCCAGCAGCCGCGGUAAUACGUAGGGGGCAAGCGUUAUCCGGAAUUACUGGGUGUAAAGGGAGCGUAGACGGUAGAGUAAGUCUGGAGUGAAAGGCGGGGGCCCAACCCCCGGACUGCUCUGGAAACUAUUCGACUAGAGUGCAGGAGAGGUAAGCGGAAUUCCUAGUGUAGCGGUGAAAUGCGUAGAUAUUAGGAGGAACACCAGUGGCGAAGGCGGCUUACUGGACUGUAACUGACGUUGAGGCUCGAAAGCGUGGGGAGCAAACAGGAUUAGAUACCCUGGUAGUCCACGCCGUAAACGAUGAUUACUAGGUGUCGGUGGGUAUGGACCCAUCGGUGCCGCAGCAAACGCAGUAAGUAAUCCACCUGGGGAGUACGUUCGCAAGAAUGAAACUCAAAGGAAUUGACGGGGACCCGCACAAGCGGUGGAGCAUGUGGUUUAAUCCGAAGCAACGCGAAGAACCUUACCAAGUCUUGACAUCUGGAUGACGAGGACUUAAUCGUCCUUUCUCUUCGGAGCAUCCAAGACAGGUGGUGCAUGGUUGUCGUCAGCUCGUGUCGUGAGAUGUUGGGUUAAGUCCCGCAACGAGCGCAACCCUUAUCUUCAGUAGCCAGCGAGUGAAGUCGGGCACUCUGGAGAGACUGCCGGGGAUAACCCGGAGGAAGGUGGGGAUGACGUCAAAUCAUCAUGCCCCUUAUGAUUUGGGCUACACACGUGCUACAAUGGCGUAAACAGAGGGAAGCGAGCCCGCGAGGGGGAGCGAAUCCCAAAAAUAACGUCCCAGUUCGGAUUGUAGUCUGCAACUCGACUACAUGAAGCUGGAAUCGCUAGUAAUCGCGGAUCAGAAUGCCGCGGUGAAUACGUUCCCGGGUCUUGUACACACCGCCCGUCACACCAUGGGAGUCGGAAAUGCCCGAAGUCUGUGACCCAACCGCAAGGAGGGAGCAGCCGAAGGCAGGUCGGAUGACUGGGGUGAAGUCGUAACAAGGUACCC